CGCGGGGUGGAGCAGUCUGGUAGCUCGUCGGGCUCAUAACCCGGAGGUCGUCGGUUCGAAUCCGGCCCCCGCUACCA
rnacentral:tRNA from 1 species